GAUGAACGCUAGCUACAGGCUUAACACAUGCAAGUCGAGGGGUAACGAGAGGGAAGCUUGCUUUCCUUGUCGACGACCGGCGCACGGGUGAGUAACGCGUAUCCAACCUGCCCCCAACUAAGGAAUAACCUUGCGAAAGUAAGACUAAUACCCUAUAAUUUCCUCAGAUGACAUCUGACGAGGAAUAAAGAUUUAUCGGUUGUGGAUGGGGAUGCGUCUGAUUAGCUUGUUGGCGGGGUAACGGCCCACCAAGGCAACGAUCAGUAGGGGUUCUGAGAGGAAGGUCCCCAACAUUGGAACUGAGACACGGUCCAAACUCCUACGGGAGGCAGCAGGGAGGAAUAUUGGUCAAUGGGCGGAAGCCUGAACCAGCCAAGUAGCGUGCAGGAUGACGGCCCUAAGGGUUGUAAACUGCUUUUAUACAGGAAUAAAGUUAGCCACGUGUGGUUAUUUGUAGGUACUGUAUGAAUAAGGACCGGCUAAUUCCGUGCCAGCCGCCGCCGUAA
rnacentral:rRNA from 1 species